CUUAAUGCCGCGUGGAGGAUGAAGGCCUUGGGUCUUAAACUCCUUUUGCCAUGGGGGAGAUACCAUGGAGAAUAAGUGACUGCUAACUCUGUGCCAGCAGCCGCGGUAAUACAGAGGUCACAAGCGUUAUCCGGAUUUAUUGGGCGUAAAGCGUUUCGUAGGUGGGUUUGUAAGUUACCCUUCAAAGACUACGGCUCAACCGGAGGAGGGGGGGUAAUACUGCAAGUCUUGAAAUAUGAUGGGGCAUCUGGAACUGAUGGUGUAGUAGUGAAAUACGUUGAUAUCAUCAGGAACUCCAAGGGCGAAGGCAGGAUGCUAAUCAUUUUUUGACACUGAGGAACGACAGCUAGGGGAGCGAAAGGGAUUAGAGACCCCUGUAGUCCUAGCCGUAAACUAUGCUCGCUAGGGAUUCCGAGUUUACUCGGCAGUCCCGUAAGCUAACGCGUUAAGCGAGCCGCCUGGGGAGUACGACCGCAAGGUUAAAACUCAAAGGAAUUGACGGGGACCCGCACAACCAGUGGAGCACGUGGUUUAAUUCGAGACGAAACGAAGGACCUUACCAAGCUUUGAAAUAGUACCGUUUAAGUAUCCUGG
rnacentral:rRNA from 1 species